UGACGGGGGCCCGCACAAGCGGUGGAGCAUGUGGUUCAAUUCGACGCAACGCGAAGAACCUUACCCAGGCUCGAACGGCAACUGACAUUCGGCGAAAGCCGGCUCCCGCAAGGGCAGUUGUCGAGGUGCUGCAUGGCUGUCGUCAGCUCGUGUCGUGAGAUGUUGGGUUAAGUCCCGCAACGAGCGCAACCCUUGUCCGCUGUUGCCAUCAGGUUAUGCUGGGCACUCUGCGGAGACUGCCGGUGAUAAACCGGAGGAAGGUGGGGAUGACGUCAAGUCAGCAUGGCCUUUAUGUCUGGGGCUACACACGUGCUACAAUGGCCGAUACAAACCGUCGCGAUACCGCAAGGUGGAGCUAAUCGGAGAAAGUCGGUCUCAGUUCGGAUUGCAGGCUGCAACUCGCCUGCAUGAAGUUGGAAUCGCUAGUAAUCGCGGAUCAGCACGCCGCGGUGAAUACGUUCCCGGGCCUUGUACACACCGCCCGUCACAUCACGAAAGCUGGCUGUACUAGAAGUAGCCGCGCUAACCCGCAAGGGAGGCAAGUUCCUA
rnacentral:rRNA from 1 species